GACGAACGCUGGCGGCGUGCUUAACACAUGCAAGUCGUACGACAGCAUUUCCUUUUAGGUUGUGUUUGGAGUGGCGAACGGGUGCGUAACACGUGGGUCACAUUCCGGGAAGCGGGGGAUAGCCCAGGGAAACUUGGAUUAAUACCUCAUGUGGUGCCGCGAAAGCGGCACUAAAGGCGCAAGCCGCUUCCUGAUUGGCCCGCGGCCUAUCAGCUAGUUGGUGAGGUAAUGGCUCACCAAGGCUACGACGGGUAGCUGGUCUAAGAGGACGACCAGCCACACUGGAACUGAGACACGGUCCAGACACCUACGGGUGGCAGCAGUCGAGAAUCUUUUCACAAUGGGGGCAACCCUGACGGAGCGACGCCGCGUGGAGGAUAAGGUCUUCGGAUUGUAAACUCCUGUCAUGCGAGAACAAAGCCUCACGGCCUGAUAGUAUCGCAAGA
rnacentral:rRNA from 1 species